CCCUUCCGCCGUCGCCACCGCGCAGUUGGGGUCCGCGGUGCCGCGGCGCUCCGGGGCGGCCCCGAUCCCCGCCCGCUGACGGAGCCCCGCGCGGUGCCGCCCCGGCGCCGUUUCUUGGGCGGAUCCCCCGCGAGCGGCCCCGGCGCGGCGCGGAGGCGGCAUGGGGAAGAGCUGCAAGGUGGUGGUGUGCGGGCAGGCCGCGGUGGGCAAAACCGCCAUCCUGGAGCAGCUGCUGUACGGCAACCACGUGGUCGGCUCCGAGAUGAUCGAGACCCAGGAGGACAUCUACGUGGGCUCCAUCGAGACGGACCGCGGCGUGCGCGAGCAGGUGCGCUUCUACGACACGCGGGGGCUGCGGGACGGCCUGGAGCUGCCCAAGCACUGCUUCUCCUGCACCGACGGCUACGUGCUGGUGUACAGCACCGACAGCAAGGAGUCCUUCCGGCGGGUGGAGCUCCUCAAGAAGGAGAUCGAUAAGUGCAAAGACAAGAAGGAGGUGAGCGCGGUUCCCACCUCUGCCGGGCGCGGAGUGCGGCUCCGGGGGCUCCCGGCUGUCCCGGGCGGCUCUUUGCCCUCACUGCGGUUCCACGGCUGCCGGGCGCCGAAAGCAGCUCCGCGUGCUUCGCUGCCGGCGAGAACGGCGAUCUGCUCCUUUGGUUGCUCCGUAAGGGGCCGUUGGUCUUACUGGCGCUGACUGAGAUCUCAGCUGCCCUGGAGGGACCUUUCCUGCAGUGCUACACGUGCGGCUGCUCGGCGGGCCCUUCCGCUUUGAAACAAACCCAAACAGAGGGUGAAACCGCCCAGAGAAAGCACUGGGAAAGCCGGGGUUUUUCUCCCCCGUUUUUUGACAGGUCACGAUUGUGGUUUUGGGCAAUAAAUGUGACCUUCAGGAGCAGCGCCGGGUGGACCACGACGCAGCCCAGCACUGGGCCAAGGGCGAGAAGGUGAAGCUGUGGGAAGUGUCCGUGGCUGACCGGCGUACGUUGAUCGAGCCCUUCAUCUACCUGGCCAGUAAGAUGACGCAGCCACAGAGCAAGUCUGCUUUCCCCCUGAGUCGCAAGAACAAGGGCAGCGGGUCUGUGGAUGGCUGAGCCUCGGCGUGCUCUUCCCACGCCGCCUCCUGUCCCUCACCUCUCUCCUUCCCUUGCACGUACCUCCUGCCGAGCCUGCUUGGUGCUGUGGAGCCUGCAGGAAGCCUGGUGGCACGAGGAGUGGGCUUCCCAGGGCUGGGGAUGGUCUUUGAGGAGGAGAGAGGUGACCCAUCUCCCUGUACUGACACGAGAGCUGUUUUCACUGCCCAGGAAUCGCCAAGUGCACCCCUCUGCCCUGGGGGCGCAGGCUGACACCUGGGGGCUUCACGCUGCCCCCGGGGAGGCCCAGCACAAGGCUGGCCUGCAGCCUGGGAUCAGCUCCACAUCUGAGCACAAUCGGUCCAUAGGAAAAGAUUUCCCCUCUCACGAGCUGCUCUCUUUCGUACUGAUCCAACGUGAGAAGAACCCAUUUGAGGGCUGUGCCUCCCAUCUCCUUGCCCUACCCCAGCUGGCUCUGCGGUGCUGCAGCUUUGUCUCAGCAGGUUGCUCCUUACCUGGCCGUGUCCUCUGCACCUUGACGGGCAGGAAUAUUCAGUCCUUGGUCAAGCUGAGUGCAGGUGAGCCUCCUGCCCCAGGAAACGCAGUGCAGAGCAGGGCAAGGUGCUGUUGCUGAGGACAGGCUCAGGCCCCGCAUCUCACAGGGCACAGCACACUGCACUGCUCCUUUGAGGGCACAUCCAGUCCUGACCUGGGAGACGUGGGGCUGUGCUGGACUCACCCACAAACAGGGGCAGCUCACACCACCCCACGGUUGUGACACCUCAGAACCACCACAAGACAAAGGGAUGCUGCCCCAGUCCUACCCAGCAACAUGUGCUCCCUUUAGGGAAAAAAAAAAAUGAUGAGAAAGCCCUGGCUUGUUGAUACUUGUUCCUUUUAUUUACUGAGUAACACAAUAAAGCGAUGAGAUUCGAUUAUCAAAA